CCACACCCCCCCCCCCCCCCCAAAAAAAAAAAAAAAAAAAAAAAAGGGUUUCUUCAAUCUUACUUUUUCUAUACUGUGUAAACAUGGCUAAGCUAAAUUUCUUCAAUUCCUCCAUGGUUCUUCUUGUUCUUUCAGCUGCAAUAAUGGAUGGAUCUGUGGUUGGAGUAUUUGCACAGAAAAGAUGCCAAGAAAGGUUAUAUAACAGUGGUUGUACACUUUCAGAUUGUGGGAAAAGAUGCUGGAUAAAACACCAUGAGCCAGGAUAUGAAUGUGUUGCCAACGCUGGAAAAACUAUCUAUGCCUGUUACUGCUUCUUCACCUGUGGCUGAUUUAUAUAUAUUGUUUUGUUUUGUUUUUCAAUUUUCUUUUAUGGAAUUCUAGAAUAUCAUUAAGCACACCCUACAAAGUACUGUUACUGAUUUGAUAAUUGAUAAUAAUAAAAUAAAUUCUGUUGAGUUAAA